ACUCCUACGGGAGGCAGCAGUGGGGAAUAUUGCACAAUGGGGAAGCCCAUCGAUGCAGCCAUGCCGCGUGUAUGAAGAAGGCCUUCGGGUUGGUAAAGAUACUUUCAGCAGUGAGGAAGGCGGGUACGUUAAUAGCGUGCUCGUUUGACGUUAGCUGCAGAAGAAGCACCGGCUAACUCCGUGCCAGCAGCCGCGGUAAUACGGAGGGUGCGAGCGUUAAUCGGAAUUACUGGGCGUAAAGCGCAUGCAGGUGGUUUGUUAAGUCAGAUGUGAAAGCCCGGGGCUUAACCUCGGAAUAGCAUUUGAAACUGGCAGACUAGAG
rnacentral:rRNA from 1 species